rnacentral:rRNA from 1 species
GAUGAACGCUAGCGGCAGGCUUAAUACAUGCAAGUCGAGGGGCAGCAUGGUGGUAGUAAUACCACUGAUGGCGACCGGCAAACGGGUGCGGAACACGUACGCAACUUACCCAUAACUGGG